ensembl:snRNA U6 U6 spliceosomal RNA
GUGCUCACUUUGGCAGCACAUAUACUAAAAUUGGGAUGGUACAGAGAAGAUUAGUACGGCCCCUGCUCAAGGAUGGCGUGCAAAUUCGUGAAGCAUUCCAUAUUUUU